UACGGGGGGGGCAAGCGUUGUUCGGAAUUACUGGGCGUAAAGGGCUCGUAGGCGGCCAACUAAGUCGGAUGUGAAAUCCCUCAGCUUAACUGGGGAACUGCGUGUGAUACUGGAUGGCUUGGAUUUGGGAGAGGGAUGCGGAAUUCCAGGUGUAGCGGUGAAAUGCGUAGAUAUCUGGAGGAACACCGGUGGCGAAGGCGGCAUCCUGGACCAAUAUUGACGCUGAGGAGCGAAAGCGUGGGGAGCGAACAGG
rnacentral:rRNA from 1 species